rnacentral:rRNA from 1 species
GGAUAUUGGACAAUGGGCGAAAGCCUGAUCCAGCCAUGCCGCGUGCGUGAAGAAGGUCUUCGGAUUGUAAAGCACUUUAAGUUGGGAGGAAGGGCAGUAAGCGAAUACCUUGCUGUUUUGACGUUACCGGCAGAAUAACCCCCGGCUAACUCUGUCCCAGCAGCCGCGGUAAUACAGAGGGUGCAAGCGUUAAUCGGAAUUACUGGGCGUAAAGCGCACGUAGGCGGACCAGAAAGUUAGGGGUGAAAUCCCGGGGCUCAACCUCGGAACUGCAUCCAAAACUGGCGAGCUAGAGUAGGGCAGAGGGUGGUGGAAUUUCCUGUGUAGCGGUGAAAUGCGUAGAUAUAGGAAGGAACACCAGUGGCGAAGGCGACCACCUGGGCUCAUACUGACACUGAGGUGCGAAAGCGUGGGGAGCAAACAG